GGCCCGGACGGCCGGGUGCUGUGCCCGGUCCUGCGCCGCUACACGUGCCCCCUGUGCGGCGCCAGUGGCGACAACGCACACACCAUCAAGUAUUGCCCACUCUCCAAAGUGCCACCGCCCACCGUCCGCCCGCCGCCGCGCAGCACCAGAGACAACCUGCCAAGCAAGAAGCUGCGCUAGAAGCAGGCUGCAUCGAGCUGCGUACACCUGAAACCUGGACUCUUCUCCCGUGGCUCAACUUGGGAAGUCCUCUUGGUUUUAUGGAAGCCGCAGGGGCAUAGCACUUUCUUGUGGAGUGAUAGGUCUCUGACGUUGAAAUAUUGGAUUUUGUCCCUAGUUUCUAAAACGCGCAUCCAGAGUGGUGAGGGCUGAGCGGUUGUUCCACUGGCUGAAGUGCGGUGAAUGAGGCGCUGUUUACUGUAUACGUCAGCCUAUUUUAGGUGCGCAUCCGUAUGAAUUGUCUCUGAUCUUGGAUGUUUUCGUUUUAUGAAUGGAGGCACUUUAUUAGGUCUAGAGUAUUUUUAAUAGCCUCUGAACUGAGUGUAAAACAAUUGUAUGGAAUGUCGGCAAAAUGACUAUUUUAUUGUUUGAUGCAAUUAAUUUAUUUUAGUUUCUCAUUCUAAUUGCAGGUAAAGCAACUUAGUACACUUCCCAAUAUUGAGAGGAUGUUCCUCCUCGUGGCUUGUUUCUGUCCUAGAUGGGAGGCUUAAAGGCACAAUCUGUAGCAGGUAGAAUACAGUUCCUUAUCAUUUUAUGUAUCAGCUAUUCUACUGAAUUAGCAAGUAGUCCUUCCAACCCUUAAAAUUAACUGUGCCAAGGCUUAAUCAUAUCGUGUACAUAUUUGGAAAUGGUGCUGUUUAAGAGACGUGUAUUUAUACAGUGACAGUAUUAUGAAUCCAU
rnacentral:lncRNA from 1 species